rnacentral:rRNA from 1 species
UACGGGGGGAGCAAGCGUUGUUCGGAUUUACUGGGCGUAAAGGGCGCGUAGGCGGCGUGACAAGUCACUUGUGAAAUCUCCGGGCUUAACUCGGAACGGUCAAGUGAUACUGUCGUGCUAGAGUACAGAAGGGGCAACUGGAAUUCUCGGUGUAGCGGUGAAAUGCGUAGAUAUCGAGAGGAACACCUGCGGCGAAGGCGGGUUGCUGGGCUGAUACUGACGCUGAGGCGCGAAAGCAUGGGGAGCGAAUGGG